UGUGAUUGGCUCUUGCGGAGACGCCUACUUGCUCUUCGGAGCUACGGUGGCGGAUCGGGGACAAGAAGCUUGCGCAGGGAGGGACGCUUUCAAGAAUAAGCCAAGCAGCUUUUGGAAUCCAGCAGAACAGCGCGGAGAUGGCGGCGGCGGCGUUGUUGGCUGCGGUGGACAGGAACCAGUUGCGACGGGUCCCGAUCCUGCUGCUGCAGCCGAGGGAAUGGGCUUGGAAGUUGAGAACCAUGAAGUAUGGAACAACCCCAGGAGGAAGUAUUACCAAGGUCCUCAUUGCAAACAGAGGAGAAAUUGCCUGCAGGGUGAUACGAACAGCCAAAAAGAUGGGUGUGCAGUCGGUGGCUGUGUACAGUGAGGCCGACCGGAAUUCCAUGCAUGUAGAUAUGGCAGACGAGGCAUAUUCCAUUGGCCCUGCUCCAUCUCAGCAGAGCUACCUCGCAAUGGAGAAAAUCAUUCAAGUGGCCAAGAGCUCUGCAGCACAGGCCAUCCAUCCAGGCUACGGUUUUCUUUCGGAAAACAUGGAGUUUGCUGAACUUUGUAAGCAAGAGGGAAUCAUUUUUAUAGGUCCUCCUUCGUCUGCAAUUAGAGACAUGGGUAUAAAGAGCACGUCCAAGUCCAUCAUGGCUGCUGCUGGAGUUCCUGUUGUGGAAGGUUACCAUGGCAAGGACCAGUCUGAUCAGUGCCUGAGAGAGCAUGCUGGGAAAAUCGGGUAUCCUGUUAUGAUCAAAGCAGUCCGUGGUGGAGGAGGAAAAGGCAUGAGGAUCGUUAGAUCAGAGAGAGAAUUCCAAGAGCAGUUAGAGUCAGCCCGGAGGGAGGCGAAGAAGUCUUUCAAUGAUGAUGCAAUGUUGAUCGAGAAGUUCGUGGACACUCCAAGGCAUGUAGAAGUCCAGGUGUUUGGUGAUCACCAUGGCAACGCAGUGUACUUGUUUGAAAGAGACUGUAGUGUGCAGAGGCGACAUCAGAAGAUCAUUGAGGAGGCCCCAGCGCCUGGUAUUAAUCCUGAAGUAAGAAGAAAGCUGGGAGAGGCUGCAGUCAGAGCUGCGAAGGCUGUCAAGUACGUGGGAGCAGGAACUGUGGAAUUCAUUAUGGACUCAAGGCACAAUUUUUAUUUCAUGGAGAUGAACACCAGGCUACAAGUGGAACAUCCUGUCACUGAAAUGAUCACAGGGACUGACUUGGUGGAGUGGCAACUCAGGAUUGCAGCAGGAGAGAAGAUUCCUUUGAGCCAGGAAGAAAUCCCUCUGCAGGGCCAUGCCUUUGAGGCUAGAAUCUAUGCAGAAGACCCUGACAAUAACUUCAUGCCAGGGGCUGGACCGUUGGUUCAUCUCUCUACCCCUUCGGCAGACAUGUCUACGAGGAUUGAAACUGGAGUCCGGCAAGGAGAUGAAGUCUCGGUGCAUUACGAUCCCAUGAUCGCAAAGCUCGUUGUGUGGGCCUCAGACCGCCAGUCAGCCCUGUCGAAGCUGAGGUACUGCCUUCAUCAGUACAACAUUGUCGGCUUGCGCAGCAACGUGGACUUCCUGCUCCGGCUCUCCGGCCACCCAGAGUUUGAGGCUGGGAACGUGCACACGGACUUCAUCCCUCAGCACCACAAGGACCUGCUGCCGAGUCACAGCACUAUAGCCAAAGAGUCUGUGUGCCAGGCAGCUCUGGGGCUCAUCCUCAAAGAGAAAGAAAUGACCAGCGCUUUUAAACUCCACACUCAAGAUCAAUUCUCUCCGUUUUCAUUCAGCAGUGGGAGAAGACUGAAUAUCUCUUACACCAGGAACAUGACUCUGAGAAGUGGUAAAAGUGAUAUAGUCAUAGCUGUGACGUAUAACCGCGAUGGGUCAUAUGAUAUGCAGAUUGACAACAAGUCCUUCCGAGUCCUGGGCGAUCUUUCCAGUGAAGAUGGCUGUACCUACCUGAAGUCUUCUAUUAAUGGGGUAGCCCGUAAAUCCAAGUUCAUCCUCCUGGACAACACUGUCCACCUGUUUUCUAUGGAAGGCAGUAUUGAAGUUGGCAUUCCAGUGCCCAAGUACUUGUCUCCAGUGAGUGCAGAAGGAGCUCAGGGGGGCACCAUCGCGCCCAUGACUGGAACCAUUGAAAAGGUGUUUGUGAAAGCUGGAGACAGAGUAAAAGCUGGAGACUCUCUGAUGGUUAUGAUUGCCAUGAAGAUGGAGCAUACCAUAAAGGCUCCAAAGGAUGGCAGGAUAAAGAAGGUAUUCUUCAGUGAAGGAGCCCAAGCCAACAGACAUGCACCUUUAGUGGAAUUUGAGGAGGAGGAGUCUGACAAAUGAGAAUCGCAGUGAACUGUGUCCAGAAAGAAAUAGACGACCGCAUAGCGCCUUAUCUGUCUGCGAACAGCAAGUGCCUCUUCAGUCUCUAGAUCUCGGAGAGAGGAGCUUUAUUAAAUCAAUGAUGCUGACUCUGGAUCCAGGCGUAGAACUCUCAGCUCCUGCCUGCAUGCUACCAUGCUUCCUGCCAUGCUGAUAAUAGACUAAUCCUCUGAAACUGCAAGCCAGCCCCGAUUAAAUGUUUUCCUUUAUAAGAGUUGCCACUGUCAUGAUGUUUAUUCACAGCAAUAGAGCACUGACUAAGACACCAGCAUAUUGGAAUUUAUUCUUAGCAUGGUCAUCAGUUAUAGGUGCAUAAACCCAGGCAGUAGGUUUAGAUCUUGCCACUGACUUGUCUUGCACGGUAAUCAAGAAAAGUAUUUUUCUUUUAUUAUACAAUUUUGACAAACAACAAAAAAGAGGGGCAGAUUCCGCCUUUAGUCUUAAUGUUAUGUGUCAGGAUGCCUGUAUCAGCAGACUCCUCAGAGGUGGGGAAAUAGAUGUGGUGAUGCACACCUGGAGUCCCAGUGUUCUGAAGCAGGAGGCUCACUAGUCACAGGCCCACCAGGCCUACAUAGUGAGAACGCAUUUUCCACUCCCCAAGGCAGAAAUCUCAGAGAUACAAUGUUUGUUCUAGCAGAACUGAAAAGUGUUUCAUGGUUAGGCAAUUGGGAUGGGGUAUGCAUCACCUGAGCUGUUAUAAGACACUGUGAAAACACCCUAUGCUCAUCUCAACCAUUCCCAAAGCAGCCUUCUAGCAAGAUGUGCUUGGGACAAGAGUCACCUGUCCUCUAGCACUGAGCCAACUUGACACCAUCGACUUUCCUGUUCUCUCUCAGCUUGAUGGACCCAUGUGUGGGAGCAGCCUAACUUGAUUUGAUAGCAGAGUUCCUUUAUACACACCUGUGUGUCAGUUCUAUGGACAUUUGAUGUUUACUUCUGUCCCUGGAAACAAAGAUCACAGGAACGGCUUCCUGGCUCUAUCCAAUGGGAAAUGAUGCAGCCAUGUAGGAAAAGGUAGUAAAACUAUGGUAAGAAGCACCGAGGGAUGAGGAGCUAUGAGGAUCAGGUAAGUAGAAAACAGCAGAGAUGAAGACAAGGAAAGGGGAGUGACAGUUUAACUACAGGACAGCUGUCUGCCGUGUGGAGAACAGAGAAGGUACUAUCAGGACACUUCAGGCAGAGGGACUAACCGAGGCUAAUAAGGCAGGAAAGUCACGGUGUAUUGGGGCAGAGUGCUCUGACCUGGACUGGACAACAGGCUUCGCAUACACAGGAAGCAGCUGCCCACAAUGGCAAGGACCCUUUGUGCUUCAGUCUGUACCUGGAGCCUGAGAGCUGCUGAAGGCUUCCUAACAGCUUACAUUUUUGCAAGCUGUAUAAUGUGCACAACCUUGAGUAUACCUUGGAGGGUGUAGGGUGAAGAAUGUGAGUCUCCAGAGGAGACCAAGUGUGGGGCCUCAGGUUGGGAGCUAAGUAGGGAAGACAAACUAACUCUCUCUCUCUCUCUCUCUCUCUCUCUCUCUCUUCUCUCUCUCUCUCUGGAAAAGGGCCUUGCUGUGUAGCACUAGCUGGCUUAGAACUCACUGUGUAAACCUGUUGUGUGACAAAUGCUUCCUGAGGUAUAGCCUCCCCCAGCCUGAAGCUGGCUGGUGCAGACCUUGUCCCCACUGGGGUGGGGCCACCUGCGGUGCAGCUUUCCGACUUGGUUGGCUCCUUUUUGAAGUGACAACUGUCCUGCUCUUCUGCUACCUGCCAGGAGGCUGAACCUGUCUUCCUGAGACAUUCCUGAAUAAGCAACCAGCCUGGUGACCAAGUGUUGACAGCAUGCAGCAUGGCGACAAGCACCAAGGAUGGACUGGCGGGUGGCGGGGGGGGGGGGGGGCUUCCCCCUUAUAACACGGUCUCUUAGUAAAAUUGUGGGCCUUGAUCA